UACGUAGGGUGCGAGCGUUGUCCGGAAUUAUUGGGCGUAAAGAGCUUGUAGGCGGUCUGUCGCGUCUGCUGUGAAAAUCCGGGGCUCAACCCCGGACUUGCAGUGGGGUACGGGCAGACUAGAGUGUGGUAGGGGAGACUGGAAUUCCUGGUGAUAGCGGUGAAAUGCGCAGAUAUCAGGAGGAACACCGAGUGGCGAAGGCAGGUCUCUGGGCCACUACUGACGC
rnacentral:rRNA from 1 species